rnacentral:rRNA from 1 species
AGAGUUUGAGUCCUGGCUCAGAACGAACGCUGCGGCAUGCCUAACACAUGCAAGUCGAACGAGGGCUUCGGCCCUAGUGGCGCACGGGUGAGUAACGCGUGGGAACCUGCCCUGUGGUACGGAAUAACUCCGGGAAACUGGAGCUAAUACCGUAUGUGUCUUGAGGGACAAAGAUUUAUCGCCAUGGGAUGGGCCCGCGUAGGAUUAGCUUGUUGGUGGGGUAACGGCCUACCAAGGCAACGAUCCUUAGCUGGUCUGAGAGGAUGAUCAGCCACACUGGGACUGAGACACGGCCCAGACUCCUACGGGAGGCAGCAGUGGGGAAUAUUGGACAAUGGGCGCAAGCCUGAUCCAGCAAUGCCGCGUGAGUGGUGAAGGCCUUCGGGUUGUAAAGCUCUUUCGCACGCGACGAUGAUGACGGUAGCGUGAGAAGAAGCCCCGGCUAACUUCGUG